CUGUGUAAAACUAGUCCCUUGCACAC
rnacentral:piRNA from 1 species